rfam:Ictidomys tridecemlineatus contig057013, whole genome shotgun sequence.
GGGGGUAUAGCACAGUUGAUAGAGUGUUUGCCUUCUAUGCAUAAAGGCCCUGGGUUCAAUCCCCAGCACCACAC